GGAUAUGAGGGUGAUCUCUUGGUGACAUUUCUCACCCCUUUGUUUACCAGGGUGGAGUCAGAUGAGGCUGGCUAGGCAGGUGUCCCCUUCCUCCCGCCCCACUCUACAUGCAUCUCCCACCCCCACCCCCCAGCUGUAUUCUUGGAAAGAGAGGGGGAGCUUCUCUGAAGAGCCUGUCUUUAGACAAGGCUAUAUGAGUAACUGCUCUCCCCGCUUGAACCUCCAAACAAGCUGUCAGGAUAAGUGUGGAAAGCUGAGAGUUUCAAAACAUUUUUUUUU
ensembl:misc_RNA 7SK 7SK RNA